rnacentral:rRNA from 1 species
GACGAACGCUGGCGGCGUGCUUAACACAUGCAAGUCGAACGGAAAGGCCCUGCUUUUGUGGGGUGCUCGAGUGGCGAACGGGUGAGUAACACGUGAGUAACCUGCCCUUGACUUUGGGAUAACUUCAGGAAACUGGGGCUAAUACCGGAUAGGAGCUCCUGCUGCAUGGUGGGGGUUGGAAAGUUUCGGCGGUUGGGGAUGGACUCGCGGCUUAUCAGCUUGUUGGUGGGGUAGUGGCUUACCAAGGCUUUGACGGGUAGCCGGCCUGAGAGGGUGACCGGCCACAUUGGGACUGAGAUACCGCCCAGACUCCUACGGGAGGCAGCAGUGGGGAAUAUUGGACAAUGGGCGGAAGCCUGAUGCAGCAACGCCGCGUGCGGGAUGACGGCCUUCGGGUUGUAAACCGCUUUCGCCUGUGACGAAGCGUGAGUGACGGUAAUGGGUAAAGAAGCACCGGCUAACUACGUG